UGCGCAGGCGGGCUUGUAAGUCAGUGGUGAAAUCUUGCCGCUUAACGGUAAAAUUGCCAUUGAUACUGCAAGUCUUGAAUAUGGUUGAGGUAGGCGGAAUGUGUUGUGUAGCGGUGAAAUGCAUAGAUAUGACACAGAACACCGAUUGCAAAGGCAGCUUACUAAGCCAUCAUUGACGCUGAGGCACGAAAGCGUGGGGAGCGAACAGGAUUAGAUACCCUGGUAGUCC
rnacentral:rRNA from 1 species